rnacentral:ncRNA from 21 species
UCUAAAAAAAAUUUAACUUGUGCUAUAGUGCUUUCACUUGUCGUUGGGAAAGUCCGGUGGGAUUCCGGUACUGUGCCGCAACUGUAAUCAAGAGAAAAGCCGGUUAUUAGAAACCCGGUUUCUUGAAGAAACCGGGUUUCUUGGAAUGCUACUUAGGCAGGCAUUCUAUUUUUUCCGCAAGUGAAGUCAGAACGCCAACGACAAGUUUUUUCACUCUC